GUUUAACGGCCGCGGAUUUUGACCGUGCAAAGGUAGCGCAAUCACUUGUCUUUUAAAUAAAGACCUGUAUGAAUGGCAUAACGAGGGCUAAACUGUCUCCUCACCCCAGUUAAUGAAAUUGAUCUUCCCGUGCAGAAGCGGGAAUUAACACAUAAGACGAGAAGACCCUGUGGAGCUUCAGACAAUAGAUGAAUUUAUUAAACAAUUAACACCAUAUAAAAGGUAGUUAAAACAAUAACCUCAUCCUAAGUCUUUAGUUGGGGCGACCGCGGAGCAAAACAAAACCUCCGUGAGGAAUGAGGUAAAAACCUUAUACCCAAGAAUGUCAUUUCUAAGUACCAAAAUAUUUGACCCACAGAUCCGGCAACAGCCGAUCAACGAACCUAGUUACCCCAGGGAUACAGCGCAAUUCUCUUUGAGAGUCCCUAUCGACAAGAGAGUUUACGACCUCGAUGUUGGAUCAGGACAUCCUAAUGGUGUAG
rnacentral:rRNA from 1 species